UACGUAGGCAGCGAGCGUUGUUCGGAAUUACUGGGCGUAAAGAGUGUGUAGGCGGUGCUCCCAGUCUGUUGUGAAAUCUCCCGGCUUAACUGGGAGGGUGCAGCGGAAACUAGAGUGCUAGAGGGUGGGAGAGGUAAGCGGAAUUCCUGGUGUAGCGGUGGAAUGCGUAGAGAUCCCCAAGAACACCAGUUGCGAAGGCGGCUGACUGGACACAUAUUGACGCUGAGGCUCGAAAGCAUGGGGAGCAAACAGG
rnacentral:rRNA from 1 species